GUAAGCCCCAUGUCAAAGUAUAUAUAUAUGGAGUGGGAUAUCCACUGGAGUUCAAGAAAACAUUAAUUGAACAGCCUCCAAAUCGUAAGGGGCUACAGUAGCUUGUACCGUUUGCUGUUUCUGCUCCAAAAUGCCCAAGUCAGAAGCCCAACCGCCUCCAGAAGGAUAUCCAACUGAAAAUCCUCCCACUCGGAAGAAAUGCUGCCCACAGUCAAAGAAGAAGGGAGACAGAGGCUUCAUUGAGGGAUGCCUGUUCGCUUUAUGUUGCUGCUGGCUGUGUGAGAUGUGUUGCUGAUACAAAGGAGGGGGAGGACAGAUAUCAUGGCCUCAAGAGCCAUAGGACCAGAUUGAUCAGGACAAGACGCCAAUCUCAUUAGCUGAUUGUUUAUUGUAGUGUGUUGAAUGUUGAUGUAUGUAUGUAUGUAUGUAUGUGUGUGCAUAUAUGCAUGUAUAAACUUUUUAAUAAUAUGUGAUUAUUUUGAACUAAUAUGUGGAAUAAGGAUUAGAAGAAUCAAUGUCUAAAAAAUAGAAGACAUUCAAACAAACAAAACU